CACACAAUACAACACGAUUUUCCAUUACAGUGCCAAGCAGGCUUAUUUGGACAGAUAAUUUAUCUCCUCUCUAUAUAGAUUUGCAAAAUUCAUUUUAAAAUUUUGGGAGGUUUUUAUUUAAUAGAAAGGCUAUUGGGGAGUUUAAGUAAACCUACGAGGCAAACUCAAAAGAGAUCCCCCCAAUCUUGACCUUCCCCUUCCCACUGCGCGGGACCAGCGUGACAACAAUGCUCUCAUCCCCCUCGGCCUUUAGAUCCUCUAGCAAGUCAGUGAUCCCCAGCUUCAAAGAUGUCUUCAACUUACCUGAGUGUUGGUGCCGGUGCGGUACGCUCACAAAGCUCCCUGCAAGUUCACUAGACGCCGGCGUCACCCCCUCUGCCGGAACGUUGAUGUAAACGUCGAACUUGGUAUACACGCCCUUCUCCACCUCAAUCCCCUCCAC
rnacentral:misc_RNA from 1 species